GACGAACGCUGGCGGCGUGCUUAACACAUGCAAGUCGAACGGACCUUCUGAUCUUUUGGUUGGUUGGUUAGUGGCGAACGGGUGAGUAACACGUGAGUAACCUGCCCUUCUCUUCGGGAUAACUGUCGGAAACGGUGGCUAAUACCGGAUAUUCAUAUGCUGUCGCAUGGUGGUGUGUGGAAAGAUUUUUUGGUGGGGGAUGGACUCGCGGCCUAUCAGCUUGUUGGUGAGGUAGUGGCUUACCAAGGCUUUGACGGGUAGCCGGCCUGAGAGGGCGACCGGCCAACGACUGGGACUGAGAUACGGCCCAGACUCCUACGGGAGGCAGCAGUGGGGAAUAUUGCACAAUGGGCGGAAGCCUGAUGCAGCGACGCCGUGUGCGGGAUGACGGCCUCGGUUGUAACGCUUCUAACUGUGACGAAUUGACGGUAGCAGUAGAAGAAGACCGGCUAACUACGUG
rnacentral:rRNA from 1 species